UACGAAGGGUGCAAGCGUUACUCGGAAUUACUGGGCGUAAAGCGUGCGUAGGCGGUUUGUUAAGUCCGCUGUGAAAGCCCUGGGCUCAACCUGGGAAUUGCAGUGGAUACUGGCAAGCUAGAGUGCGGUAGAGGAUGGUGGAAUUCCCGGUGUAGCGGUGAAAUGCGUAGAGAUCGGGAGGAACACCCGUGGCGAAGGCGGCUCUCUGGGACGGUACUGACGCUGAGACGCGAAAGCGUGGGGAGCGAACAGG
rnacentral:rRNA from 1 species